rnacentral:rRNA from 1 species
UCCUACGGGGGGCAGCAGUGGGGGAUAUUGCGCAAUGGGGGAAACCCUGACGCAGCAACGCCGCGUGAAGGAAGAAGGCCUUCGGGUUGUAAACUUUUGUCUUUGGGGAAGAAAAAAAUGACGGUACCCAAGGAGGAAGCCACGGCUAACUACGUGCCAGCAGCCGCGGUAAUACGUAGGUGGCGAGCGUUGUCCGGAUUUACUGGGUGUAAAGGGCGCGUAGGCGGGCUUGCAAGUCAGAUGUGAAAUACCGGGGCUUAACUCCGGGGCUGCAUUUGAAACUGUGAGUCUUGAGUGUCGGAGAGGAAAGCGGAAUUCCUAGUGUAGCGGUGAAAUGCGUAGAUAUUAGGAGGAACACCAGUGGCGAAGGCGGCUUUCUGGACGAUAACUGACGCUGAGGCGCGAAAGUGUGGGGAGCAAACAGGAUUAGAUACCCUGGUAGUC